rnacentral:rRNA from 1 species
CAAUCGGGCGGGCUAACCAUGCAGUCGAGGGGUAACAUUGUGCUUGCACAGAUGACGACCGGCGCACGGGUGCGUAACGCGUAUAGAACCUACCUUUUACAGGGGAAUAGCCUUUAGAAAUGAAGAUUAAUGCCCCAUGGUAUUAUAGACUGGCAUCAGCUUAUAAUUAAAGAUUUAUCGGUAAAAGAUGGCUAUGCGUCCUAUUAGUUAGUUGGUAAGGUAACGGCUUACCAAGACUUCGAUAGGUAGGGGUCCUGAGAGGGAGAUCCCCCACACUGGUACUGAGACACGGACCAGACUCCUACGGGAGGCAGCAGUGAGGAAUAUUGGACAAUGGAGGCGACUCUGAUCCAGCCAUGCCGCGUGUAGGAAGAAUGCCCUAUGGGUUGUAAACUACUUUUAUACAGGAAGAAACACUGGUAUGUAUACCAGCUUGACGGUACUGUAAGAAUAAGGACCGGCUAACUCCGUGCCAGCAGCCGCGGUAAC